CUAAAACAUGUGUACUCUCCACACUACAGGGUGCACCCAGGCAAGGUUUUUCCAACAACUGUGGGGUGUUUGUGUUGAUGGUAAGGAAAUGGCUAUUCAGUAUAUUAUGAAUAUGUCAUAUUGGGGCAACUGGGGUGGUAUUUCUUCUCUUUUCAAAAAUAAAUGAAGGAGUUGUUUUUAUUUCUAUAAUCAUAAAUAUAAACCACUUGUACAUUGUCAUGGAUGGAAGGUGGGACUUUGCUGAGUCAAACAUGAAGCAAAUACGGCGAUGGUGGUGCCUUGUUCUUUUGAAGAACUUCCCCCUGCCGUCUGCAGAGGAGCUUUCAGGAAGCAGGAAGAGAAGACGGGAGGGGAAAAAGCUACAGACAAAACUGAAGACCAGGAACUGGAACCUGGGAACCUGGAAGAUGAUGUUGUCCUGAAGGACACAAUUCAGGCAGCAGCAUGGUGCCAGUUGCAGUACUUCAAGGACAGCGUUUCUCUCCCAGAGGUCAUUGGGAUGGAAGGAUGGGAGCAGAUGGCAGCAUCAACGCAGCGCAAAUCCUAUGACGGCGGGGAUGAGGAAGAAACGCGGAAACCAUUCCAAUUUUCAUUCAGAUUCCAAACUGACUAUGAACUGUUCUGUGUGGAGAUUAUGGACAGGAGAAACCUGAAGGUGUUUGCCUCUUUUGAGUCAAACACAUCUCCCCCUCCCCGUCCCCCUCCCCGUGACGCCUGCGCCACACGACUCCAGUAGUCUGAUGAUGCAGCAUAAUGGCGGCGCUUGGUAGCUAUGGAGGCGGUGGCGGCGAUGUCGGGCGACAGGGCGUGGAGCGAGAGUGGCGUCCACCUCACUGAGGAAGGCGUCAGUGUGUUCCCCCCCCCCCCCCCCCCCGUUGAGACUUUGUUCUACUCUUUAUUGAUUUAUCUUUUAUGUUAUGUUUUGUAGUUGUUAUUUUUUUGUUUUUGUUUUGUUGAAUAAAAAGACUGUUGUUAGUGCUCCUGUGAUUGGUGUAACUUAAUGUGCUUCACACAUGUAGCUUUUCAUUAUGUCUAUUGAGGUACAUUUUUUGCCCUUAGAUGUGGUCACUUCGUUAUUCCUCACAUUACAUCUGUUAAGGUCAUACCUUUGGGUCCCAGUCUUCAUAGUUCCCCAAAUCUUAUUUUGGCUCUUACUGGGCCUGUAACUCUCACAGACAGACGGGUACAGGAGUUCGCACACGUUGCAUUGUUUACAGGCAAGGGUGGAUUACCGCACGGGCACACCGGGCACAUGCCCAGGGGCCCAAGGGCGGUGGGGGGCCCUAAGCCGGAGCUUCUGUGUGAAGUCGCUGUUAGUAACUUUUAAUGUUGCAUUAUCGAAGCAAUCAGUAGAGAAAUACAAAAAUUCAAGCGAAAACAGCAAUAGUAGGCCUAUUAAUACUGAGUAAAAAAAAAAAAGAUCACUAGGGGGCACUAUUUCAGUUAGUGAACAGGUUCACGAACAAUGCACUGUGAUUUAAACAUGGAGCAACGGCGAACGGUUGUAACGUGAACUCUUAAGUGGAACCUUAACCUUCAUAGGGUGUUUGUUUUUUUGUCACACAGGAGGUGCUGCUGGGUCUGGUGGACCCAUUGCCUUUUAAUUCAACAUAAUCAAGCUUUUUUUUUUAAAUACUCACCAGAUGGUUACUUCAUCCCAAUUGCAAGUAAUAUAAACAACACAUAUGUUAAAUUUGUUCACUUUACCUUUGUUAAAUCACAUUUAUGAAUAGAGGUGCCACUCGUUUUUGUUUCUUUUUGUAUUAAAAAGCAACAAAAUAAGGAAAUGCCUCAUAAAACAGGCAUAACUUGGAAAUAAU
ensembl:lncRNA